GGCAGCGCGGCUCGGGGUAUAUAGGGGCGCGCACGGGCGGAGCGCGCAGAGCGCGGCGCGGCGCCAAGCGGUGAGGAGCUGGGGUGCGGGCCGGCGGGACCGCACCGCCGCGUGUCCCUGCGCCUGCAGCGCUGCAAAACUGCUGGGAAAUGGUCACGGUGCUGCCCCAGCCGCGGCCGGGGUGCAGGGAGCGCGCCGGGAAGGCGAUCCAGGGGCUGCGGUAGCGCCCGGCGCGGUCUGAAAAUCAUUCGGGGCCUGCUGUGGCCCCGGGUUCCCGGCGCUGAUUCACGGCGAUCCCGUCCCCAGGAGCUGUGGAGAGCGCGGGGCUGCCGGGAGGCACAGCUGGGAGCGGCUCGGUUUUGUAUUUCGAUGUGCAAUAAAAUACGAAGUGCUGUAAAGAUG